rnacentral:rRNA from 1 species
GACGAACGCUGGCGGCGUGCUUAACACAUGCAAGUCGAACGGAAAGGCCCUGCUUUCUUGGGGUGCCCGAGGGGGGAACGGGGAAGUAACAGGUGAGUAACCUGCCCUUGAUUUUGGGAUAACUUAAGGAAACUGGGCCUAAUACCGGAUAGGAGCCCCUCCUCCAUGGUGGGGGUGGGAAAGUUUCGGCGGUUGGGGAUGGACUCGCGGCUUAUCGGCUUGUUGGUGGGGUAGUGGCUUACCAAGGCUUUGACGGGUAGCCGGCCUGAGAGGGUGACCGGCCACAUUGGGACUGAGAUACGGCGCAGACUCCUACGGGAGGCAGCAGUGGGGAAUAUUGCACAAUGGGCGGAAGCCUGAUGCAGCAACGCCGCGUGCGGGAUGACGGCCUUCGGGUUGUAAACCGCUUUCGCCUGUGACGAAGCGUGAGUGACGGUAAUGGGUAAAGAAGCACCGGCUAACUACGUG